AUUGAACGCUGGCGGCAGGCCUAACACAUGCAAGUCGAGCGGAUGAAGGGAGCUUGCUCCUGGAUUCAGCGGCGGACGGGUGAGUAAUGCCUAGGAAUCUGCCUGGUAGUGGGGGAUAACGUCCGGAAGCGGGCGCUAAUACCGCAUACGUCCUGAGGGAGAAAGUGGGGGAUCUUCGGACCUCACGCUAUCAGAUGAGCCUAGGUCGGAUUAGCUAGUUGGUGGGGUAAAGGCCUACCAAGGCGACGAUCCGUAACUGGUCUGAGAGGAUGAUCAGUCACACUGGAACUGAGACACGGUCCAGACUCCUACGGGAGGCAGCAGUGGGGAAUAUUGGACAAUGGGCGAAAGCCUGAUCCAGCCAUGCCGCGUGUGUGAAGAAGGUCUUCGGAUUGUAAAGCACUUUAAGUUGGGAGGAAGGGCAGUAAGUUAAUACCUUGCUGUUUUGACGUUACCAACAGAAUAAGCCCCGGCUAACUUCGUG
rnacentral:rRNA from 1 species